CAGGAACCCAAAUUUGCAACUGCCCACGCUCUCUCACUACAACUCUCCCCGGUGUAUUUACCUCAUCAACUCCAUUCAUAAUUUAGGAGAGAGAGUGUGUCAAGACACAGCUUUGACUGUCUUCUAGCUCAGGGCCCAAAUACGGCAGCCGCCGCCGUGAAUGUUCGACUGUUGCUACUACUACUGCUCAGAACUUCUGCAACCAGCCUAGAGAGAAAGCGGUGGUCGGGCCUUUGUAGUAAAUUUGAGAAAGGAGCAGAGUCAUGAAAAGAGAACUAAUUAAAGAAAUUCAAUCGAGCUUACUGUGAAUCUUCUUGGUUCGUGGAGAGAAAUAAAGGGCAUUUCUUUCAUGGGUAGGGUUUGUAGUUGAGAAAGAAGUUU
rnacentral:misc_RNA from 1 species